rnacentral:rRNA from 1 species
UACAUGUGGGGCAAGCGUUGUUCGGAAUUACUGGGCAUAAAGGGUGCGUAGGUGGUUUGUUAAGUCAGGGGUGAAAUCCCGCGGCCCAACCGUGGAACUGCCUUUGAUACUGGCGAACUUGAGUGCGUGAGGGGUAGGGGGAACGAGCAGUGUAGCGGUGAAAUGCGUAGAUAUUGCUCGGAAGGCCAGAGCCGAAGGCGGCCCACUGGCUCAAUACUGACGCUGAGGUGCGAAAGCGUGGGGAGCAAACAGG